rnacentral:rRNA from 1 species
UACGUAGGCAGCGAGCGUUGUUCGGAGUUACUGGGCGUAAAGGGUGUGUAGGCGGUUGUUUAAGUUUGGUGUGAAAUCUCCCGGCUCAACUGGGAGGGUGCGCCGAAUACUGAAUGACUAGAGUACGGGAGAGGAAAGUGGAAUUCCUGGUGUAGCGGUGAAAUGCGUAGAGAUCAGGAAGAACAUCGGUGGCGAAGGCGCUCUGCUGGACCAUAACUGACACUCAGGGACGAAAGCUAGGGGAGCGAAUGGG